UUUAUACGACCGCAAAAAAAUUUGCGGUCGUAUAUUGGUAUCACGUCGUCGUCGUCGUCGUCGUCAGCGUCAUCCGAAGACAUUUGGUUUCCGGACAAUAACUUUAGUAAAUGUAAAUAGAAAUCUAUGAAAUUAAAACACAAGGUUUAUAACCACAAAAUAAAGGUUGGGAUUGAUUUUGGGGGUUAUAGUUCUUACAGUUUAGGAAUUAGGGGCCAAAAAGGGGCCCAAAUAAGAAUUUUUCUAGUUUCCAGACAAUAACUUGUGGAACGGUGUAUGAAUCUCUCUGAAAUUAUACCACAAGUUUCCAUACCACAAAGGGAUGGUUAGGAUUGGCUUUGGGGGGUUAUGGCUCAAACCGUUUAGGAAUUAGGGGAAAAAAAGUGAGAAAAAACAAGGGUGUCCUGGUUAAUGGACAAUUACUUAAGUAUAAAUUACAGUGUAAGAGAGGUAAUUCAAACACAAUUCUGAUUUACCUCCCUUACACUGCUUUUAAAUUAUGUAUAAAGAAUAUUUGUAUUGUCUUGAGGUGAUUAGCUGUCAAUUCAUUUUUAGAAGUUACUAUUUUAAUAAUUUUAAAAAUGCUGAUUUAGGUAAAUUAAUUUUAGCUAUGAUUAUGUAUGUCAUUUUCUAUUUUAAGACUUUUAUGAUGUAUUUAAAUGGGUUAUUAUGGUUGCAAACUCCAUUGGAAAUUUGAAUUGAAAUUAUGACCAUGACUGA